rnacentral:rRNA from 1 species
ACCGCGGCUGCUGGCACGUAGUUAGCCGGCGCUUCUUCUGCAGGUACCGUCACUUUCGCUUCUUCCCUGCUGAAAGAGGUUUACAACCCGAAGCCGUCAUCCCUCACGCGGCGUCGCUGCAUCAGGCUUUCGCCCAUUGUGCAAUAUUCCCCACUGCUGCCUCCCGUAGAGUCUGGGCCGUGUCUCAGUCCCAGUGUGGCCGGUCGCCCUCUCAGGCCGGCUACCCGUCGUCGCCCUGGGGKGAGCCAACUAA